rnacentral:misc_RNA from 1 species
GAUGAAGAACGCAGCGAAAUGCGAUAAGUAAUGUGAAUUGCAGAAUUCAGUGAAUCAUCGAAUCUUUGAACGCACCUUGCGCCCUUUGGCCAUUCCGAAGGGCAUGCCUGUUUGAGUAUCAUGAACACCUCAACUCUUUAUGGUUUUCCAUGAUGAGCUUGGACUUUGGGGGUUUUGCUGGCCUAUGGUCGGCUCCUCUAAAAUAAAUCAGCUUACCGGUGUUUGGUGGGUAUCAUGGGUGUGAUAACUAUCUACGCUUGUGGUUUUUCCAACAGGUAACCUUCGACAGCGGAGGUUCACUGGAGCUCAUAGAUGUCUCUCCUCAGCGAGGACAGCCCUUUGAAUGUUUGAUCUCAAAUCAGGUAGGACUACCCGCUGAACUUAAGCAUAUCAAUAAGCGGAGGA